UCUCCUAGGGGCUUUAAACAC
rnacentral:piRNA from 1 species